AUGCGGAAGGCCAAAGACGAACGUAUUAGAAUUGCGGCGGCGUUCUUCCGUAACAGUUUCGAUGAAGACGACAAUGAUGGGAAGGAGGACAAAGCCGCACCAACAAAAGAAUCGGAAAAAAAUGUUUCACAAACAACCUCUGAUGACGAUUCGACAAAAGUCGAAAGAAAGACCAGCGUCACAAAAGCAGAGAUUUCUUCAAAAUUGGACUUACCUAGCCUUGAACUUGCGACUUCCACUUUAUGCGUGAGAGAUCGCAUCUUUAAAUGCUUACAAUCGUUAAACUCCAGCUCGUCAUCGAACAAUGUAGACGAGUACGCAAUAUCAGAUCGUCGUAACACAAAAGAAGAAUACAAUAAGAACAGUGAUGUGAUUUCAAAAAUCGAAACACGGAGAUUGUCAGUGCCGACGGAUUCCGACUGUGUCUUCCCUUCCCUCAAACACGAAGAUGUCAUUACGAAGGAGUCAUCUGCGAGGUUUCAACCUUCAUCAAUCGGCGACCACCCAAUGCGCACUCCUACGAAACCAACUACUACGGCUAAAUCGAAACAAUCUCAAUUGACGCCCGACUUCUUAAGGGUUCCUUCGGGAUCUAGCGAACACUCUCGUUUCUCGACAUUAUCAGAACGAUCGACAAGUGCGAAAGAACGCUCGGAUGUCGAGAAAGUACAUAAUACAGUGCCACAACCAUUGAUAGCCGUUAUUCGAGACAGUUUCGAUGAGAAAUCCAGCGGUGGUCGCAGAUUAACAUUGCCAAUGACGAGCUCUGAUUUGAACCAAACCUUGCUAAACCCUGCGACGAAGACCAGCCAAAAGUCGCCAACCUUUGACAAUAUCUUAGCUGGCACCAGCGUGAACCCAAUCCGGAAGUCCAGCAUAGCAAACGCAGCUAUCUGUUCGAGUUUGGCUCCCAGCUUGCUCGGAGCUAUUCCCGGUGUGCCGAAUUCUCUCUUACCGAAUGGAGACUACAAUCUGCAACGAAGUGCCACGUUGUCGAAUCUGUCAACCACCUCCACCACCAUCAGCGACGACAUUUCCAUUGAUAGAACGCGUCGCGGAUUAAGAUCGUUUCUUCGUCUUCACAUACCCGAGUCGCAUCCUGCGACCUGGCACGACGAGGACUACCAUCAUCACUUGCACAAUCAUCACCACCAUCAUCACCAUGUGUUCUCGCACAUUCACGUACCCACCAUCACCUUCACAGCGCCAGCCACCGAUGGUAUCGGUCGCAAGUUUAACUUCGCCAUCCGAAGGCAUUCACAGGCGACAUUGCAUCGGACUGACUCGAUGGUAUCGCUUUGUUACCGAUCACUCGCGAGCUAUAUCUCAGAUGAUAAUCUCGUCGGACUGCAAAGCUUCCUCGAAAAUAAGCGAGUGCAGAUCGACGACAGAGAUGAGAACGGUAGUACCGCCCUCAUCCUUGCAGCAACUAAGGGAAAAAUACACUUUGUUCGAGAACUCAUCAAUCAUGGAGCGGACGUUAAUGCUGAAGACGCAGAUAAUUGGACAGCGUUACUGUGUGCAGCGAAGGAAGGCCACACCGAAAUUUGUCUCGAAUUGCUCGAGCACGGCGCCGAUUUGGAGCAUCGAGACAUGGGUGGAUGGACGGCGCUCAUGUGGACAACGUACAAGGGUAAGUCGGCGACGGUGACGAUGCUGCUGGGGCGCGGAGCUGACGUCAACGCGCAUGGAAAUUUUCAUAUAUCCUCGUUAGUAUGGGCCGCUGGCAGGGGUUAUACUGAUAUAGUUAAAGAUCUCAUUGCUCACGGAGCGAAGGUCAAUGUCGGCGACAAGUAUGGGACAACGGCACUUAUAUGGGCAUCGCGCAAGGGAACCAUAGAAAUUGUUGAUAAUCUUCUUAAAGCUGGGGCCAAUGUCGACACAGCAGGCAUGUAUUCAUGGACUGCUCUGGUCGUGGCAACUCUCGGUAAUCACGUGGAGGUGGUAUCGCUACUAUUGGAGUACAAGCCCAACGUCAACGCUCUAGACAAAGAUGGUUGUACCGCCCUAGCGAUUGCCUGCCGUGAAGGUCAUCACGAAAUAGCGAAUGCACUUUUAAAUGCCGGUGCUUACGUUAAUAUUCAAGAUCGUGCUGGUGAUACGAAUCUGAUCCACGCGGUUAAAGGUGGCCAUCGAGGCGUGGUGGAAUCACUGCUGAAAAAAUAUGCGGACGUCGACAUCGCUGGAAAGGAUAAAAAAACCGCAACUUACAUAGCAGUAGAGAAAGGCAAUAUAGCGAUACUCAAAUUAUUACUAAACGCUAACCCAGACCUGGAGAUUGCCACGAAAGACGGCGACACGCCUUUAUUACGGGCGGUGAGGUCGCGUAACGCCGAAAUCGUGCAAUUGCUUUUAGACAAGAAAGCCAAGGUCUCGGCUACGGACAAGAAGGGCGACACUGUACUACACAUAGCGAUGCGCGCGCGAUCGAAAGCGAUCGUCGAGAUACUACUGAGGAAUCCAAAGAAUAGCCAGUUAUUGUACCGUCCGAAUAGACAAGGUGAAACCCCCUACAACAUCGAUGUCAACCAUCCCAAGACGAUGCUUGGUCAGAUAUUCGGUGCUCGGCGCUUAAAUACUAAUGAAGACAAUGAAAACAUGCUUGGUUACGAUUUAUACAGCAGUGCACUGGCAGACAUUCUCAGUGAACCAUCGCUUUCUACACCAAUAACUGUCGGUCUUUAUGCUAAAUGGGGCUCUGGGAAAUCAUUUUUACUGAACAAAUUAAGAGAGGAAAUGAAGAACUUUGCGCGACAAUGGAUCGAUCCAGUAUUCCAAUUCUCUUCCUUACUCUUUUUAGUAGUAGCUCAUGUAACCCUACUUAUGGGUAUCACACUUGGCCUCGCCUUACAGUCGUGGAUUAUUGGUCUGUCGUCUGGAAUAAGUUUACUAGUUGUCGUUUAUAUUUUUCUGAUACUCGUCUGGUAUGCUAAUAAGAGGUACGAUUGGUACUGGCCGUAUAAUCUGACAGUAGCGCUCACCACCAAGCUGAACGCUCUAAAAUUGCUAUUGCAAGUAAUCUUUUGUCAUCCACCAGGCAGCCAAUGUCACGAUGGCAUAGCAGUGCAGCCGAUAAAGUUUUACUUCACAGAUCAAACCCGCGUGGGUACGACUGCUGCCGGUGAGAACGCGGUCGUGCAGAUGGUUGGCUCGCUAUAUGAUUCCAUUGAGAAUGACUACGGUUCUCUGUCUACCAGAUUAUUCAGAGCAUUUCGGCCAAAACCGGAUAAAUCGACCACUACGUGGAAAUGGAGGCAUUUAUGCUGCUUGCCUUACGUAGUCAUAUUUGAAUUCUGCUUAUGCAGCUUGCUUGUCGGUAUUUCGAUACUUACGGUGUACCUCAUAGAUAUUUCCAAUGAUAAAUCCACGAUAGAGCGAGUUACUGCUCACAUUAUCAUGAUAUCGAUCGCCUUGGUAUUGGCCAUCAGUAUAAUAGCAAAUUUAUACACAUGGAGUAGAACACUGCAGGCAUUGGUUUUUUCACAGAGGAGGCACCUUCAACGUAGUAUAUCAAAAUUAGAGACUCUGAAGAGCGAAGGAUUCAUUCAGACUCUAAAAAGCGAAGUCAAUUUAAUGACAGAAAUGGUCAAGUGCUUGGAUAGUUUUAUGGCUCAACAAAGUAGACUAGUUGUAAUAGUGGAUGGUUUGGAUAGUUGCGAACAGGAUAAAGUUUUACUCGUUUUGGACGCUAUACAGGCCUUAUUUAGCGAUAACGGAUAUCCUUUUGUCGUAAUACUCGCAAUUGAUCCACAUAUUAUAUCUAAGGCGGUAGAAGUAAAUAGCAGAAGACUAUUCUCGGAAUCGAAUAUUGGUGGUCAUGAUUACUUGCGGAAUAUGGUGCAUUUGCCAUUUUACUUGCAAAAUAGCGGUUUACGUAAAGUCAAGGUUGCGCAACAGACUGCUCAAUACUAUAAGAAAACGACAUGGACAGAGGCUGAGGAGAGUGUUAACUACACCGCGACUAGCACCAUGCAUCAUUCGGUAUCGAGUAGAAGACUCAGCACGGAAUCAGCUAUAAUGAACAGCAACGAAAAAUUGAAACCCCAAACUAGAAAGGGCAGUAGAAAGAUGCGAUUGAGUGAAUCGAUCGCUAGCAGUAUUGGCAGUAAUUUGAAUCGACUGGGCGGCGCGCAAGAUCUCAAUAAGAUGCUUCUCACUGAUGAUUACUUUAGCGAUGUGAAUCCCCGCAGCAUGAGAAGAUUAAUGAAUGUCGUUUAUGUUACCGGACGAUUACUUAAAGCAUUCCAGAUUGACUUCAACUGGUAUCACUUAGCUAGUUGGAUCAACAUUACUGAGCAAUGGCCUUUUAGGACAUCUUGGCUCAUUCUUCAUUACGACUUAUAUGAGGAAACUCUGGAUGAUAAUAUGUCACUCAAAAGUCUUUACGAUAAGGUGCGACCGCAAAUUCCAGUACUGAAAGAGGUGCAACCACUUCUCGAGAUAGAUAGAGACGAACGCAAAUUGGAUGUUUUUCUCACUUUCCAUCGGUCUAGCUUACUCAUUAGUGAUAUGAAAAUAUUCUUGCCUUUCACUAUUAAUCUAGAUCCGUACAUUAAGAAAAAAAUAAAGGAGGAGCAACAAAGUAUAGAGGAAGAUAUGAAUCUAUUUCAUAAACAAAGUGGUACUUGGCAUGGUCACGGUGUUCCAUUUGAUCAAUGGGCUCCACAAAGAAACACGUCGACAAAUCGACAUGCGAAAUUUGUCAAGCAAUCGAGUUUGCAGGGAUCCGUACCACCGACGCCAUCGUGGGGUUAUCAGCCAAGCUUCGAAUGGCAAGUUCCGCCAGCUUGGAUGCAAAUGCCUUCUAUGGAACCAAUGACAAAACCGCUUUCCGUAACAACUACGUUACCGUCCGAAAUUUUAGAAAUAAAACUGUCGUCCUUAUCAGUGAACGGAGUUUGUGAUCUGAUCGACAAAAUUGAAAGUCUUAAUUCGAUACAAGCACCGAUAUAUAAGCAAGCCAUCAAAGAAAACAAUAUUAAUGGACGAGUUUUAUUACACUGCGAUUUGCAAGAACUAAAAAAAGUAUUUAAAAUGACUUUUGGAGAUUGGGAAUUAUUUCGCAUGGUAAUUGUAUCACUGCGUGAAAUGGAACUCUCGUCAUUCACAUAUGAGGAAGGUCCUCGAAGUGUUCGAUUUACUGUAGGAUCCGAACAAAUUUUACGCAAAGAUCACGCCUUACCAAAUAAUUCCAUACGUGCGUCUGCUCACGUCGAAAAAGAGAAAGGAGCAUCGAGAACGGAUGGAUCAACUCGACGUGAUCAAAAUAAACAAUCUAUCAUGGAAAAACAGGUAACAUUAGAGGAGCAAAUGAUUUGCGGAGCAUUGCAGACCUUGAAUGAAGAAGCUUGCGAGGAUGUUUUAGAUGUGCCAUCGCCAGCGGUGGCUCCAACAACAGACUCACUUUCUUCAGGACCUGUCAUUUCGGUACACGAUACGGAGUAUGUACUGCUUCAAGCCAGUCCGCUGUUUCAUUGGGUACCAAUUAAUGAUGAGCCAGGCAGUUCAGAUGAUAGUUCACAUGACUCCAUCAUGUUCCUUCAACGUACCAAUUCUCAGCGUAGCAUCACAUCUCAACGAAGUACGAAGUCCGCCUGCUCACAUAAGACCCUAAAGAGAAGCGGUAGCAACAUUAGCACUAGACCGUCCUCGCUAUUUAUUUCUCCGCCUUCGUCACCGAAACCUGCGAUCAGAUCGAAGUCGACCGACGAAAGGUGUAUGGGGAAUAAUAUAUCCCAGAAGACCACGUCAUCAUUUGUGUCCACCAAGAGACGCUUGUCCUCGACAUUUAAUGAUGAAGUGAUGAUAUCGGUGCCUACUUCCAGCCUGGAGAAGCUGUCAAGGUUGAAGGACCGUUUAAUUGGCACCGCGCCGACGGCGAGAUCACCGGCACCCGGUGGUGAGAGCGAUGACGAGUCUACACCACUAGUCUCUGAAAUGUCCACGCCAACGCAUUCCCAAUCAGAUAGCGUGUUCAAACAUGAUUGCAGUGCAGAGAAUAGCAGUUCGCCGUCGUCAAACAGGAGUCUACCGCGGGAUGGAGAACGUCGAGACUUGGAUUACUCUGAUACUGUGAGUCUUGUGAUACGCGAGCCCUCGAACGCUCAAUCGCAAUCUCGGCAUAACGCCAAGAUACGGAACGACACAGAGACGCCUGUCUGACACCUGUCGUCUUCUAUACAUGAUAACACGUGAUAACUCGGCGCAUUGUAUGUUUAAUUGAUAUCAAUGUGAUGAAGAUGACUGGCAUCUGUUGAGCAAAUUUAUACGCUGUAAUUCUAUUUUGACGAUAAGCAUCGAGAUAAGAUAUCUUCCUUAUGUAAAUAACGAAUGAUGGAACGAGGAAAUUUUUUAUAACUAGAAUGUUCAUCUGCUUAGUGAUUUGGAGAACGAACAAUGCCUUCUUGCGCAAGUCGUGCAAUAAUCCUUAGUUUAGCGAAACGAUCUCAAGAUAUACGAUGCCGAUGCGACCAUUCCAUGUUCUGACUCUUUCUCACUACUGCUGACCGUCGUCUGGUUCCUGGCCUCUAG